AACUUUCAGCAACGGAUCUCUUGGCUCUCGCAUCGAUGAAGAACGCAGCGAAAUGCGAUAAGUAAUGUGAAUUGCAGAAUUCAGUGAAUCAUCGAAUCUUUGAACGCACCUUGCGCUCUUUGGUAUUCCGAAGAGCAUGCCUGUUUGAGUGUCAUG
rnacentral:rRNA from 1 species